rnacentral:other from 1 species
UGUAUCCUGAAAUGUGCGAUAACUCUUGUCAUUUUGAACCUACAUUUACUUUAAACGGGAUUCCUAUAUUGGGAUACGGAUGCCAGGCCUUCAUUAUGCAGAGGAAGGCAGAAGUAUCACCUGCGGUUGCCCACCUAGCUUUGCUAGGAGUCAAAAUACAAGAACCGGCAUUUUGGGCUACAA